UCACAUCAAGUUUUUACAGGACAGACUUUAAGGAUGAUGGAGAUGUCUUUAAUAACACUGUAAGGUUCUUACCAUAGAGUUGGAGGCAGGUUGAACCAGUGAGAGCUCCGUCAGGGUAGGAGUUAAACAAACAGUGAUAGCAUCCUUCAUCUUCCUCCGUCACCCUCCUGAUAACUAUGGAGCUGUUCUGCAGUCCAGCAUAUUUAAACUCCACUUUAUCUCUAAAGUCAGGAUUCACUUUCUCACCAAAGUAUUUGGUGUAAGUAGCGACAUUCUGCUCCUUGUCAGGUAAAAUUUUCUGCCAUGUGACUUGAACAACAUCUUUAGGUUGCAUCAGCUGACAGUUUAAAAGAGCGUCUUCUCCCACUGCUGCCAUCACAGUCUGCUGAGUCUCUAUCACAGCUGCUAGACCUGCAGGGAGGACAGUUCAUACAGUCCAUGAAACUCCACAGAUUCACUUUACUGGACAAAACAUGUCUUAUAUGGGGUUUGAAUCAGAAAACUGGAUUUAUACUAGGGCUGUGCAUCUUCACUGGUCUCCCGAUUCGAUUCGAUUACGAUUAUCCUGUUAACGAUUCGAUUCGAUUCGAUUCCACGAUGUAUCACGAUGCACUGCAUUCUUAAUUUCCUAUAUUACUGAGCAUGGUUACUUUUUUAAUCAAUUAAUACAAGCAGUCAGAUAAAUAUGAACUCCCUUCUUUAUUAGAAAGUGCUUCAGGAUUACCGGUAAGUAACAUCGAUGUCUUAAUAAACCAAAAUAAAUGAAUUAAAUUAAAUAAAACAAAUACUUCUGCAGGCCAGCUGCAACCUUUAGCAACUGUCCUGUACUCAAAAAAGGACACUGAAUGUCUUGAAUGUGGCAAGCAUCAGAAAUAUGACUUGAGUCUGAACAAAGCAAGCAACAGCAGUAUUUCUAACAGUAAAUACUAAAAUAGCAUCAAUAAAGCACAGUGUACUUCUUCUUCAAAAACAUAAAUAACAUAAACACAAAUAACAUAAAUGUCAAUGUAUGAACAGCAAAUUAGGCUUUAAACCAAAAUAAAUUGUAGAAGCCUAGUAGCCAACUACCUAUAAUCUUUGUGUGAAAAUGGUCAUCCUCCCUAAACCACACAUAAAUCUGUCUUCUACUGUAAAACAGGGUACUUCCUGAAUGUGGCAAACAUCACAAUGUGUCUGAACACAACAAACCACAGGUAGCAAUGAACUACUAG